rnacentral:rRNA from 1 species
UACGUAGGGGUCUAGCGUUGUCCGGAAUCAUUGGGCGUAAAGAGCUCGUAGGCGGUUCGGCAAGUCGGAUGUGGAAUCUCCACGCUCAACGUGGAGGGGCCAUUCGAAACUGCCGUGACUCGAGUCCGGUAGGGGAGUGCGGAAUUCCCGGUGUAGCGGUGAAAUGCGCAGAUAUCGGGAGGAACACCAGUGGCGAAGGCGACUACCUGGCCUGUUCUUGACGCUGAGGCGCGAAAGCUAGGGGAGCAAACGGG